AAUAGAUACCCGGGUAGUCCACGCCGUAAACGAUGUCGACUUGGAGGUUGUUCCCUUGAGGAGUGGCUUCCGGAGCUAACGCGUUAAGUCGACCGCCUGGGGAGUACGGCCGCAAGGUUAAAACUCAAAUGAAUUGACGGGGGCCCGCACAAGCGGUGGAGCAUGUGGUUUAAUUCGAUGCAACGCGAAGAACCUUACCUACUCUUGACAUCCACGGAACUUUUCAGAGAUGAAUUGGUGCCUUCGGGAACCGUGAGACAGGUGCUGCAUGGCUGUCGUCAGCUCGUGUUGUGAAAUGUUGGGUUAAGUCCCGCAACGAGCGCAACCCUUAUCCUUUGUUGCCAGCGGUUCGGCCGAGAACUCAAAGGAGACUGCCAGUGAUAAACUGGAGGAAGGUGGGGAUGACGUCAAGUCAUCAUGGCCCUUACGAGUAGGGCUACACACGUGCUACAAUGGCGCAUACAAAGAGAAGCGACCUCGCGAGAGCAAGCGGACCUCAUAAAGUGCGUCGUAGUCCGGAUUGGAGU
rnacentral:rRNA from 1 species